rnacentral:rRNA from 1 species
CGUCGGGAACGUGCCUUUAGGUUCGGAAUAACUCAGGGAAACUUGUGCUAAUACCGAAUGUGCCCUUCGGGGGAAAGGCUUAUCGCCUUUAGAGCGGCCCGCGUCUGAUUAGCUAGUUGGUUGAGGUAAUGGCUCACCAAGGCGACGAUCAGUAGCUGGUCUGAGAGGAUGAUCAGCCACAUUGGGACUGAGACACGGCCCAAACUCCUACGGGAGGCAGCAGUGGGGAAUCUUGCGCAAUGGGCGAAAGCCUGACGCAGCCAUGCCGCGUGAAUGAUGAAGGUCUUAGGAUUGUAAAAUUCUUUCACCGGGGACGAUAAUGACGGUACCCGGAGAAGAAGCCCCGGCUAACUUCGUGCCAGCAGCCGCGGUAAUACGAAGGGGGCUAGCGUUGCUCGGAAUUACUGGGCGUAAAGGGAGCGUAGGCGGACAUUUAAGUCAGGGGUGAAAUCCCGGGGCUCAACCUCGGAAUUGCCUUUGAUACUGGGUGUCUUGAGUAUGAGAGAGGUGUGUGGAACUCCGAGUGUAGAGGUGAAAUUCGUAGAUGUUCGGAAGAGCACCAGUGGCGAAGGUGACACACUGGCUCAUUACUGACGCUGAGG